rnacentral:misc_RNA from 1 species
GUGAAUCAUCGAAUUUUUGAACGCAAAUUGCACUCUCCGCUGAGAGGAUGCCUGUUUGAGGGUCAGCCUAUAAAAAAACGACAUCGUUGCUGGUUCGCGGUGGCGUUCGUCGGACAUUGGGUCAUCUUAAAUCGUUUUGAUUUAAGCGACUUAAAAUUUGCAUUUGGUUCCAUGGACGUGUCUAUUA